CCUACGGGAGGCAGCAGUGAGGAAUAUUGGUCAAUGGGAGAGAUCCUGAACCAGCCAAGCCGCGUGAGGGAAGACGGCCCCAUGGGUUGUAAACCUCUUUUGUCGGAGAACAAAACCCGGGUCGUGUCCCUGACUGCGUGUAUCCGAAGAAAAAGCAUCGGCUAACUCCGUGCCAGCAGCCGCGGUAAUACGUGGGAUGCGAGCGUUAUCCGGAUUUAUUGGGUUUAAAGGGUGCGUAGGAGGGCCGUUAAGUCAGCGGUAAAAGUGCGGGGCUCAACCCCGUCGAGCCGUUGAAACUGGCAGACUUGAGUUGGCGAGAAGUACGCGGAAUGCGCGGUGUAGCGGUGAAAUGCAUAGAUAUCGCGCAGAACUCCGAUUGCGAAGGCAGCGUACCGGCGCCAGACUGACGCUGAGGCACGAAAGCGUGGGGAUCGAACAGGAUUAGAUACCCCUGUAGUC
rnacentral:rRNA from 1 species